rnacentral:lncRNA from 1 species
GGGCGCUGCGGGUCUGGGGGCGGGGGUGGGGCGGGGCCUGCAGCGCGGGUGCGGGCGCGGGGCGGGGCGCUGCGGGCCUGGGGCGGUGUCUGCGUGGGGCGCUGCGGGCCUGGGGCCGGGCCUGUGGGCGGGGCCGCUGCGGGGCGGGGCGGGGCGGGGCGCUGCGGCAGCGGGUCGGGGCGGCGGGGCCGUGCCCGCUGGAGGGGGCGCUGUGGGCGCGGCGGAGCGUCCUUUGUCAGCGCGCCGCCAGGGGAGCUCUGGCUCGCUCCCGCCCGGUGCGGGAAGUGGAUUUGGACGCGACGGCGGGGCGGCGAGGACGAGCGGGAGCGGCCGCCCUUUGUGGGGCUGGCGGAGCGGAGACGCGGCCCCGGCGGCGGGCAGCGCGCGGCUGCGGGAUGGAGGGACGCGCCGUCCUGCGCUCCGGCGGGGGCGCCCGUUAGCAGAGCCCGAGGGGGGACGGCGGAGCCGGGCGGCGGCCCCGGGGGAGCAGGGACCGGCGAGCGGCCGCGCACAGGUUGCCGAGAAGAGGGAGACGACAAACCCGGGCCCAGAUUCGCCGAGGACGCCCUAGACUACGGCAGGGAUGGUGUCAGCCCGCGCUGGCCAGCCAUGAGCAGCAGGGGUCGUCCGGGCAGAAGCAGGAUGGGCCUCCCCGCUGGCUCCUGGAACUCUAGGCUCGCUGCAGCAGGCCCGGGUGGGCUGUGGCCUGAUGACGGGAGGGGCGGCGGCCCUGGGACCUUUAUCAGCUCCUUCCACCUUGAGUAAGGCCCCCCGGGAACGUGGGCCGUUAACACGGCUCUGAACCAGGUCCGUUCUGAUCAGCCCAACGGUCGCGGCUGAAACUAGAGAUAAGGACGGAAAGAAGUGUCCCUGGGCCCAGGCGUCCGUGCCUCUGGCGUCUGGCAGCGGCAGCUCCAGGGCCCGUGGACACUCCCGCCCCAACUCCCCCCCACGCCCCCAAGCAGCUGACAGAGGGGACGGUGAGGACCUGGGGCCUCGGGCUGGUGGCCGCACUGGGCCACGCAGGGAACAGAGGCUGCGCAGACACCAAACAAGAGCCAAACAACAGACGCGGGGCGGUGACAGGUGUCCCCUGCUGCGCCAGCCAACUCCGGAGGUGGCCGAGUGAUGGCAGUUCCAGCAGCUUCCGUGAGGCUCAGCUGGACCCCGCGGGGACGAGCUGGCCUCCGUCUUGCCUGUGCUGUUCCACCUGGUCACCCCGAGCCUCCCCUUCCCCUGCCUGCCCUGAACUUGAGCCCCCCUUGGCCCGCUCCCCCCGCAACGAUCUUUCCGCAACAGAACUUGAAUCUCCACCUGCCCCUGCUCCCAGGAUAAAAGCCAGGCUCCUCGCCUUGGCCUCUGCUGCUUUCCGUGCUCCCCCGCCCCGCCUCUCUCUGUCUCUCAGGAAUCAAUAAACAAAAUCUUUAAAAAAAAUAAAUCUUUCUUUCUGGAAGAGGAAAUGAUACUAUUAGACUUUGAAACGCGUGAGGACUUUAUGAAGACAGUUUCUUUUGCCGGUGGACACGGUUUUCAGCCUAUAUUAUUUUAUCGAGCCUGAGUUUCAUUAUGUUUGCUUCCUUUACUCGGCGUGGAGCCCAUAUAAGGUCUCUCGACUUCUGCUUUAAAAAAAAAAUUGAUGGUGAAGGGGCACCGAGUUGGCUCAGUCGGUUCAGCAUCUGACUCUUGAUUUCAGCUCAGGUUAUGAUCUCGGGGUAAUGAGAUGGAGCCCCAAGUCCAUGCUCCACGUGGAGCCCCCUGGGGUUCUCUCUCCCUGUCCCUCUCCCCCACAUCAUAUGCACUCCCCCCCCCAAAUAAAUAAAUAAAUAAAAUCUCUCCGAAAAUGGACGGUGAAAAGACACCCAAAAGUGAGGGUGCAUUUGGUUCUUUCCUUCCUUGACUGUGUCAGAUGCCAGAGCAUCCCUCCUGAUUGUCUCAACAUCCCUUUAUUUAGAAUUUAUCCUUCUUCCCUCCUAGCACCACAUUUCUCUUAGAUCCUUCCAACACCCUCAUUUGUGUCCCAAAUUAGCUACAUCUGUUACCAUAGUUAUGCAGUUUCCAGCUUAACCCCUUGCCUGCUUGUUCCUGCCCUACUGUGCCUGACGCAUCCUUUCUUGCAUUUCCAUCAGACCUACCGUUUUUUCUUUCGUUUUUCUUUCUUUUUCUCCCUCCCUCCCCCCACCACCCCCGCCACCGCCUCAGGUUUUUUUUGCUGGCUUUAAGGUAAUGCCUGUGCAUAGUUAAUAGCCCGAGUAGGCCGAAGGGCUUCUAACCGAAAGCAGCAGUCUGCCCAGCCCAGGCCCUCGGCCAGGUCAGCCGGUCAGCCGCGUUUGGCCGUUCCCUCCUGCUGUAGUUACCUUCCUAUCUCGAAAUCCUAUGCUUACGUUAACGUCUCUGAAUUCAUCAGUGACCUGCUGUGAAAGCCAAGGACGUCGUUUGGUUACAUCAUCCCUGCAUCUCCUCAUUCUCUCUGGUCAUCCCUGUGGCUCCACACAAUGCAUUUGUUCAAACCAGGUUUCUCCCUCCGCGGCCUGUUGACUGGGUCCCUCGACCCCCGGCUCCGCGUAGGACAAGGCCAUCAGCACCCCUCCUUACCCUGCUUCCUCUUCCCUCCAGCUUCGCUUUACUUUUGCAUUAUCGAACUCGGUAAAAUAUUCAUUCUGUUCCGUUGGCCGUAGUUGAUUCCUAUGAUUUGUCUGUAAUUAUAGUGAUGUUAAAAGCUGAAGAGUUCUGACCUGUUCAUUAUCUGGGUUGAUACGUUCACAAGUAACACAUGCUAGGGUUUCAUAUCCUCGGCCGGCUCCCGGCUCUCAACCCUCGGCCCUAGGUGGGAAGUGCUCGCACGGUGGCCCAGGGCCCCAGCACCGUCACGCCUGCCCCAGCCCGCCCGGCGGGGUGUGCGGCUCCUCGAGGAUCCCUCCACUGGCCACGCCGGUGGGCUGCGCAGCGGCCGAGGCCCCACUACCGGGCCCGCAGGUGGCCGCAGCCUGGUGCCGGGCCGGGGCCAAGCGGUGCCCUCUGCUCAGCACCCAGGGGGGACCUCUGCUCAGCCCCUCCCUCCUGCCGUCCAUGGUGCCUGCUGCCCGCCAGGCGCUGCUCCUUGGCUCCCGCAUCCUCCACCUCGAGUCCGGGCUGACGCCACUUGGGCCCCAGACAUUCAUCACUAGUUCCCACCUGCUUUUGGUCCUGCAGAAACUCGCUGAACCCUGUUCCAAUGACGGCCUGCACUAUGCACGUUUACUCCCUGAUGACCCGCGGCAUGAGGUCUAAGGAGAGAGCGGGAGGUGGGCGGUGGGACCGGGACGCCCAUGGCCACGCAGUCCCGGGAUCUUCUCCCCGACGGUGCGGUCGCCGCGAAGGCCUUGCGGCUUACAUGCAAUCCAGCAAACUCCGCUGUUUCUCUUCAGGAAGGUGCAAGUUGGCAAAUCAGAAGAGUUUGGUUAAUAGUGUGCAGGAGCCCAGGAUGAGAUGAGGGGUUAAGGGAAAAGAGAAACUUCUCCGGGUAACCUGGGCUGCAGUGACUGGCCAUGCGCCGGCCGCGGAGAUCAUUGGUCAGCGUUGCUGGCGCUUGACUUACAUCCAGAACGGAGCAGCCGACAGAGACAGUUAGUGGGUUCACACCCUGUGUCCCCGGAGGGAGGGGGCUCCCGGAUAAGGAGGCAGGAUUCGUGGGCGCCCAUGGAGCUCUGUUCAGCAAUAAGUCUGGAGAUACGGACGUAACAUAAGAAAUUCCAGUUGCCUCUACAUUUCCAUCUAAUUUGCAGGUUAUUGCUUCAUUUUCGGCCUUAACAAUAGUCACCGAGACAGAAGAGAGUUCUGGGGCUCCUGUUUUAUGUAUCUUAACUGUUAAAGGCUGGAAAAGCUGUGGCCAGCUUUGAAGACUGUACCUACAGUCUUCAACCGUAUCAGGUUGUAGGACGUUGAAGAAUUAAAAUCUGCUUUUCAAAACCUAUUCUAUUUAUGGAUGAAAUGAUACAAAAUCUUUUUCUGUUGGGGAUGAAUGGGGUUGAAGUGAACUGAGGUGGACUACAAGUUGGUAAUUGUUGAGAUUGGGUAUAACAUCUAAACUGGCACUUUUUUAGAGGGAAAGGAGGUACCAUGAAUAAUUGCAUUGGAACAAGAGGCAUGACCCCGACCCUCUUGGGAAAAUUGCAGUCUAUUCUGAAGCUAGAUGAUGGGUACUUGGGGUUCAUUAUAUGGUAGGCUCCUAAUUUUGCAUAUUUGCAGAUUUUUCCAUCAUUAAAUUGUCUGCUGUUUUAUCCUGUUUGCUAUUUUGUUAAAAUUGGAGACUUUCACCUUAACAUGAUGUUAGGCAUUAGUCAACUUCAAAUACAAAAUGAAAAUAGCAAGAGAAUAUUGUCAAAGAACAAAUCUAUUAAGUUAAUUUAUACUAAUGGGACAAAAAUCCAUGGACUCUGCAACUGGGACACCCAGGAAGCAAUAUUUAAUUAAGUCGACAAUGUUAUAAAGCAGAUCUCUAGCUUUAGUUAUGCAAAAGGGCCUUGUUUUAUCUCUGUGGAUUGGGUUCAUCAGGCUUUUACGGGUGGGCGGGUGCAUCCCCACAAAGGUCGAGUCUGCUGGGAAAUAGAGCGCAUUUCCCAAGAAAGCAGGAUUUCUAUUUGCAGAGCAAGUCAGCAAUAAUAACUACCGAUCGGUAAUUAUCUUUGCGUCUCUCCUAUGUGAGAUUCUUCAUUACCUCUUACCUGCUAAAAUAGUCUUUCGAAGUUACCCAGAAGUUGAGAAAGAAGGUCUCCUUUCUUGCUCUCUAAUUACCAUGCUGUGUCGUCCCAUGGCUUAGUGAAGUUUUUGCUUCUGGGCCCGCAAGGAGGUAUGGCCGGGGUGCGUGCAUGAGGUGGCAAGGGUGGGCUCCGUCUUUUAGGAUGUCAGGCAUCUUGCUUCUGCCGAUCAGAGGGCUCACGUGGUUGUGGAUUUGGAGUGAGGGUCUUGGUGCCCUGUUCAGAGAGGGGCUGAGAUGAAUGCCCAGCUGCCAGGAGCCUGGGACUGUCAUGCAAGGUACUGUACCAGAUGUGGGCUCUCCAAGGCUGGAGUGCUGCUUCUGUAGGAUCAGAAGCCCGUUUUUUGAAAAUUAUUUGUUCUGCUGCUGUUGUGUCACUGGUGUGAUUUAGUAUCAUGUCCCCUGUAUUAUGCAAAAAAGGUCACUUUCUAUUUGCUUAUGGUUUUUGAAGUCAAGCUUACCGAGAUAUAGCACACACAUAGUACAAUUCGCCUUUCGUAAGUAUGUUGUUCUAUGAUUUUUGACAGAUACAUACACUCACGUGACCACAACCGCAGUCAAGAUAGGAGGUUCCCUGUGUCCCUUUGUAGUGAAUCUCUCCCUUAUCCACCCACAGCCCGUGACAACUGCCCAUCUGCUUUUGCCUUUUCCAGAAUGUCCUAUAAAUGAGACCAUACAGUGUAGUCUUUUGUGUCCGACGUCUUUCAUUUCGUAUAAUGUUUUUGAGAUUAAUCCACGUCGCUACAAAUAUUAGUAGUUGGUUUCUUUUGAUUGCUGAGUAAUAUUUCUCUGGAUGACUGUCCCAGUUUGUUCAGGCAUCCACCAUUAAAGAAUAUUUGGGCUGUUUCCAGUUUUGAUGAUUAUAACUAAAGCCACUGUACGUAAUGACAUACAAAUUUUUGUGUAUUUUGGUUCUCUUGGGUAAAUAAAUACCUAG